GGUGGGUGGUGGUGCAUGGCCGUUCCUAGCUCGUGGAGCGAUCUGUCUGGUUAAUUCCGACAACGAACGAGACUCCGACCUAUUAACUAGAGCACGUAUACGAUUUCGUCUUCGGCGCUGAAACCGCUCGGACGUGUCUGUGGUCGGCGGUCUUCGGGCCGACGGGACCCUGAUGCGAUUUCGUCUGUAGUAGGCGCGUACGUGUAUCUUCUUAGCGGGAUCGGCGGCUCGAAGCCGUCCGAAAGGGAGCAAUAA
rnacentral:rRNA from 1 species